GCAAGCUUAACUGGCUGUCUGAUACCUUAGUUCCUGUAGCUAUGAUCUGGGAAUUGAGCAUGCCUGAAGUAGGUAAUAAUUCUCCACAUUGUGAGACUACAUAGAUGCACAGGAUCAUCCAUGGCAGAUGCAAGAAUGAGCUUCAAUCAAAACUUUAAAUUUCCAAACCUUGUCUAACCCCCACCCCCCACCAUCAAUCAUAAUGGAGCAGACUUUUGAUAAAGAAUUCCAGUCAUGACCA